rnacentral:tRNA from 1 species
GGCCUCGUAGAUCAAGUGGUUAGAGCCUUCCCCUUCCUGUCGUGGGUUCGAAUCCCACCGAGGCCG